ACCCUAAACCUCCCCUGCUGUCUACUUUGCAGUGGCUUACAGGAGAGACCGAAACAUAAGGGAUGUCUAUGACGAACGCUUCCUAUCAGACAGACCGGCCCCAUAUCCCAGAUCAGCUGGAGCAGGGCCUGUAGAGAGGAGGCCGGCUGGUUUCGGAAGGCCAGACGAGGAGUACAAUCGAGGGUUUGAGUACGACGGGCCUCGCUUUUAUCCAAAUGGAGGCCCUCGAGGUUACCAUGGCGAGGAUCAAAGAGGCUACCAUGGCGACAGCCUUCAUUUUCCUAACGAGCGCAGAGGUAUCCCACCUUCCCGGAGACCGGAGGAGCCGUACCCUACCCUUCUAGACCACCUCCUAGAGAGGACCCCCACACAACACGCCAGAUGGAGUUCAGCAGUGCCGUGCAGCAGCACCUCCCCCCAGCGUCAGGGCUCAGGGAUGUACCCUGCACCCCGCUCCCUGUCUGCUGUGGUCCCAGAGGGGGGUGAU